rnacentral:rRNA from 1 species
UACGUAGGGUGCGAGCGUUGUCCGGAAUUACUGGGCGUAAAGAGCUCGUAGGUGGUUUGUCGCGUUGUUCGUGAAAACUCACAGCUUAACUGUGGGCGUGCGGGCGAUACGGGCAGACUGGAGUACUGCAGGGGAGACUGGAAUUCCUGGUGUAGCGGUGGAAUGCGCAGAUAUCAGGAGGAACACCGGUGGCGAAGGCGGGUCUCUGGGCAGUGACUGACGCUGAGGAGCGAAAGCGUGGGGAGCGAACAGG